CUCCUGUCCUGCUGAACUGAGCCAGAUGUAUAUUAUCCACCGAUUAUCAGCUCAGUAGGUACAGGAG